rnacentral:rRNA from 1 species
GUAGGGGGCAAGCGUUGUCCGGAAUUAUUGGGCGUAAAGCGCGUGUAGGCGGCCAGGUAGGUCUGCUGUGAAAACUCGAGGCUCAACUUCGAGAUGUCGGCGGAAACCAUCUGGCUAGAGUCCGGAAGAGGAGAGUGGAAUUCCUGGUGUAGCGGUGAAAUGCGCAGAUAUCAGGAAGAACACCCGUGGCGAAGGCGGCUCUCUGGGACGGUACUGACGCUGAGACGCGAAAGCGUGGGGAGCGAACAGGAUUAGAUACCCUGGUAGUCCACGCCGUAAACGAUGGGUGCUAGGUGUGGGCGGUGUCGACUCCGUCCGUGCCGAAGCUAACGCAUUAAGCACCCCGCCUGGGGAGUACGGCCGCAAGGCUAAA